ACAUAUUUUAGAGCCUAAUUCAACUCAAUUAACAAUUGAAAUUACAUUCAAAUCCAAAUUUAAAAUUUUAUUGCUAAAAUUCCUCCUAAAAUAAAUUUAUUGUAAUCCAUCUCUACUUAAAUAAGCUGCACCUUGAUCUGAUUUUUAAUAUAAUUAUAUAUUAAAAUUAUAUAUUUUUGAAAAUAAUUUACAACGACGAUAUACAAGCAAAAUUAAAGUUUUAUUAAUCGUGGAUUAUCGAUUACAGGACAGAUUCCCCUGAUUGGAAUAAAAAACCGCCAAAUUUUUUGAUUUUAAAGAACAUAACUUAUAUUUAUCAGGUAUUAAACUCAACAUCUAGAAUAGUGGGGUAUCUAAUCCCAGUUUAUUAUCUAGAUUUCUUAACUUCAUAACCAAAAAUUCAAUUAAAUAAAAAAUAGGAUUUCACCCAAUAUUCACUAAAAUAAAAAUUAAUCUUUAUUAAUUAAAUAUUAUAACCGAAAAAAAAAUAAUAGCAUUAUUUGUCUAACCGCA
rnacentral:rRNA from 1 species